UGGGGAAUAUUGGACAAUGGGGGGAACCCUGAUCCAGCCAUGCCGCGUGUGUGAAGAAGGCCUUAUGGUUGUAAAGCACUUUAAGCGAGGAGGAGGGUACUGGUAUUAAUACUACCAGCUACUGGACGUUACUCGCAGAAUAAGCACCGGCUAACUCUGUGCCAGCAGCCGCGGUAAUACAGAGGGUGCGAGCGUUAAUCGGAUUUACUGGGCGUAAAGCGUGCGUAGGCGGCUAAUUGAGUCGGAUGUGAAAUCCCCGAGCUUAACUUGAGAAUUGCAUUCGAUACUGGUUAGCUAGAGUGUGGGAGAGGAUGGUAGAAUUCCAGGUGUAGCGGUGAAAUGCGUAGAGAUCUGGAGGAAUACCGAUGGCGAAGGCAGCCAUCUGGCCUAACACUGACGCUGAGGUACGAAAGCAUGGGGAGCAAACAGG
rnacentral:rRNA from 1 species